CAUGCCGUAAACGAUGUCUACUAGCCGUUGGGGUCUUUGAGACCUUAGUGGCGCAGCUAACGCGAUAAGUAGACCGCCUGGGGAGUACGGUCGCAAGACUAAAACUCAAAUGAAUUGACGGGGGCCCGCACAAGCGGUGGAGCAUGUGGUUUAAUUCGAUGCAACGCGAAGAACCUUACCUGGCCUUGACAUAGUAGAAACUUUCCAGAGAUGGAUUGGUGCCUUCGGGAAUCUACAUACAGGUGC
rnacentral:rRNA from 1 species